rnacentral:rRNA from 1 species
CCGGUAAACGGCGGCCGUAACUAUAACGGUCCUAAGGUAGCGAAAUUCCUUGUCGGGUAAGUUCCGACCUGCACGAAUGGCGUAAUGAUGGCCAGGCUGUCUCCACCCGAGACUCAGUGAAAUUGAACUCGCUGUGAAGAUGCAGUGUACCCGCGGCAAGACGGAAAGACCCCGUGAACCUUUACUAUAGCUUGACACUGAACAUUGAGCCUUGAUGUGUAGGAUAGGUGGGAGGCUUUGAAGUGUGGACGCCAGUCUGCAUGGAGCCGACCUUGAAAUACCACCCUUUAAUGUUUGAUGUUCUAACGUUGACCCGUGAUCCGGGUUGCGGACAGUGUCUGGUGGGUAGUUUGACUGGGGCGGUCUCCUCCUAAAGAGUAACGGAGGAGCACGAAGGUUGGCUAAUCCUGGUCGGACAUCAGGAGGUUAGUGCAAUGGCAUAAGCCAGCUUGACUGCGAGCGUGACGGCGCGAGCAGGUGCGAAAGCAGGUCAUAGUGAUCCGGUGGUUCUGAAUGGAAGGGCCAUCGCUCAACGGAUAAAAGGUACUCCGGGGAUAACAGGCUGAUACCGCCCAAGAGUUCAUAUCGACGGCGGUGUUUGGCACCUCGAUGUCGGCUCAUCACAUCCUGGGGCUGAAGUAGGUCCCAAGGGUAUGGCUGUUCGCCAUUUAAAGUGGUACGCGAGCUGGGUUUAGAACGUCGUGAGACAGUUCGGUCCCUAUCUGCCGUGGGCGCUGGAGAAUUGAGGGGGGCUGCUCCUAGUACGAGAGGACCGGAGUGGACGCAUCACUGGUGUUCGGGUUGUCAUGCCAAUGGCACUGCCCGGUAGCUAAAUGCGGAAGAGAUAAGUGCUGAAAGCAUCUAAGCACGAAACUUGCCCCGAGAUGAGUUCUCCCUGACUCCUUGAGAGUCCUGAAGGAACGUUGAAGACGACGACGUUGAUAGGCCGGGUGUGUAAGCGCAGCGAUGCGUUGAGCUAACCGGUACUAAUGAACCGUGAGGCUUAACCUU